CUUGGAGGAGGGGGUCCCUCAGCCUCAGCCUGGAUUGCGAGAGGACACAGGCCAGGCUGAGGGACCCCACCAGUGCACG
rnacentral:pre_miRNA from 1 species